GGUGAAGUUCAUCAUCCAACUUCUUUGAUUUCUUCAUCAGGUGACGAACUUCCCUUCUGAGGUCCCGGACCAUCGACUUCAGAGGAAUCUCCUGUGGCAGGGGAAGAGCUUCGACGGGGCACUAUCAUUGGAAGACAAGAGCGCCACAACACAAAUCAGUGUCGGAAAGCAAAAGAGAAGAAAAAGAAUGCAGAGUAAAAAAGAGGAGCCCUCUAUAAAGAAGAAUCUGA
rnacentral:lncRNA from 1 species